ACAAUUCUAUUUUUUCAUUAUUUAUACAUAUAUAUUCUUUUUAACCAUGCAUUUCCUCGUCAGAAACAAUUCCAAUUUGCAAAGAUUAAUCACAUCAAAAUUCUCAUAGCCAUCUCGUAACUUUAUUCAACAAUUUUCCCAAACGGUCUGUCAUUUGCAUAUCUACUAUAACCUACCCCAUUUCAUCGUUCUAAAACGUGCGUCUAUAAACCCAACCGCAAGCCUCGCAAGAUCCUCCCAUCCGCUAUAGACUUCUGCUUUCCUCCAUCCAGAUUAAAAUCAUCGCGUGACGGUCUCCAAAAAUACCGAAAAACUAAAUCUUAUCACAGUAAACGUUUAUAUACAACUGUUGAUUACAUGUUAAAUCAAUAGUGUGUAACUUUAUUAAUAGUUUCGGGAUAUGGCAAGUUUGUUUCUUUUUAUAUAUUAAAAAAAAAAAAAGAACGCAGAAACACGGUUACAUUCAACCGUGCGAUAGGGUGGUCCGCCAUGACCAGAUCACGCGGUGAACGCGCAAAGUAUAUCUGGGAAGGAUGCGCGCGCAGCUAUCCGGAUCCAUCGAGCUUUAUACGAGCCCAUUAUACGUCGUUAUAUACUCGAUACGUACACCUGACUGAUUUCGUACGUGCUCUCUUUUUUUUUUCGUGCACUCGAUUCGAGCGAUUUUCAGAUAUUUUUUACACACGUGCACUUAUGUUCGAUGUAUGUAACGACGUACGUAACGGAUAUAUAUGACGAAAAAUCGGUAUAUGGAUAUAUCGUUCCAACGAAGUGUAAAAAUGCGUACAGAAUGAGCCAUCGAAUUGAGGUUAUGAUGGAUUGUGUGUAACAUCGUAGAUGACGAUUAAUCGUGGAUUAGAGAGAAGAAGAGUGAUAUAUUAUGGGAUAAUACAGUGGGUGGAAUACAAAAGAGGAAAAAAUCCCUUACGAGAUGUUUUCCUGCAUCGCAAUGAUGAAAUAUAAAUGAAAAGUAAAAGUUAAUACCGCGUAAAAUAAAACUGUUGCUAUAAAGAA